AAUCAAGUCAUGUUCUAAGUGGAAUUGCCAGUACGUACUUCUAAAAGGAAAACACAUGAACCAUGGGAGUUCCCCGCCAGGGACAAACAUGUGAUAUUACAAAGGUAUAACAGUGCCUCCUUCAGAUCUGGCUGCUCCACACUGACCCACCAAUGUUUGUAUCCUCAGAAAAGGAAACUGAAGCAGACCAAAGACCCAGCAUCAGAGGAAACUCAAUUCCAAGAUGCCUGCUGUGCGGUGGCCUUGCUUUCCCCAUAAUGUCAAAAUAAAUAUAAAAGAAUUACCUCAAAAUGAAGGGCA